rnacentral:sRNA from 12 species
AGCUGAUGCGUAGGGGCGGCAAUUCUCGGCGGAACCACUAACCGCCUAAAGUGAUGCGCCUUGCCAAGAAGCAGUCUAUGUAAGAGAUUGCGCUUAUCCUAAAGGUGUCAGACGUGAGGCGGAGCCUCGUUAAAAAUCCUAUCUGACAAGCGUUUAGUUCGGAUGAGCCGCGCCAUCGUUAAAAACGCGGAAGCCAACUGGUGGGAGUAAAAUACCAUCUGGGGGCUAAAAGGCUCGUAAGCGCAGGGUAAACUGCAACAAGGUUCGGGAAUAAAAAUUGUGGCAUCGAUAGUCAGUACUUACAUUACUGGCUAUCUUUG